GUCGUUGUUGUUUUUCUUCACGAUAAAGUCUUUUUCAAUUCUUGCUCCGGACCCCUCGAUUUCUUUUACUCUCUCUCUUAAAUUAGUCUAAGUGUUUUAAAUCUCGAUUAAUCUACGACAUAAUUUGGCGUCGCGACCAGGAGGAAAUAGGGACUCGCCAGCUGCCGGGCCAGAGGACGGGACGCGAACGGAUCAUACGACCAGAGCUCAAGGAGAAAACAUAGAACCACCACUGGGAUUGGUGAUUCUGUGGCUCUUGGAGACUCUGCAUCGCGUCGGAACACCAUGUGGUAUAGAUCAUUACAUCUUGGUACACGGAGCACUGGUGAGACAAAAGGUUGGAUCAGAGGGAGAAGGUGUCUGAAGAAGGGAGGGGAAUGUAAAGAAAGCAAAAAGGGCGGACGCGGACCGACACAGAGGUAAUAAAUCAGCGGAGAGGAGGCUGGGGGUCGGUUUAGCUCAGGAAGUAGAGGGUGUCUUGUAACCGAAUGGUUGCUGGUUCGAUCCCCAUCUCCUCCUAGCUGAGUGUUGAUGUGUCCCUGAGCAAGUUAAAUGGUGAUUACAGGAUUUAGGGAUAAUUAUCUAGACUCCAAAACAUGAGCAAUUAGCGUUAAAAAAUUGUCUGCACACCACACUCCAGAGGAGUCAAUGGGUUCAAUGGCGCCAGGGUAAAGUGACUCAUCAAAGGAGGAGCAGACCCAACCCAUGGACUCUGCGUGGAUAGGUGGAUGUUAUUUUGGUGCUUGGGCCUGACGAGGUCUAGGUGCCAAGAUAACAACACAAAUAAAAUAUUUCCUUCGAGAUUAUGAUAAGUAAUAGACAAUUUAUUAAAAGUGAUCUUAUAAUUUAGAAAAAACAAUCGGCAAUACUUAAAAAUUAGACCAAAUAAGUAUGAUAAAACGUUAUCCAAAUUUCUAAUUUAGGUUAUCCACAAUGACAAAUGUAAUUUAAAAUAAAUAAGUAAAAUAAAAUAAGAACGGGUGUGUGUGAACCUGUUCUCGUGUGUGUGUCAGGGCUGCCGAGGUAGGGGAGAAUCCUCUCCUACUCCGAGUGACAGAGUACACAAGGGGAUACCCAAGCACACUUCAGAUAAAACAAUAUGGUUAAUUACUAUAGAAACAAUGUAUCAAUUCAGUGUUGAAUAAACUAGCUAAGAUCAACAUAGAGGAUUUGGGUUUGGUAUAGUAGUGAAUCAGAAUAUGGAAAACACUAAAUGCAAGCAAUAGGUAGAAUAAAAGGUUUAAUUAGGUCGUCCAAUUUAAAUAGAUAGUGAAGGGCAAUCGGGUAGGAUUAUGAAGAGAAUUGUGAUUUUGAGUAGCGGUUAAGACAAAAGUGAGUCGCCCAAUAUUGAAAAUGCAAGUUUUAAUAUUGUGAUUUUUGUUUUCUUUCACAUCUCCCUAGUUAAGGACAAUAGGUGGAUUGACGCUACAUCUGCUGGGAAGGAGUCAUACAUGCUAUGUUGUCAAAUUGGAUUCGGAAGUAGUCGGUUUACCUUCAAAUGCCACUAAUACUGCUGCAACACUUUAAUAAUUUUAACUCUGAUAAAUCAUCUUUUGUUUUAUAGUCACCCUGAUGUGUAUUCAUUACGCACACAUAUGGCUGCAUAAGGCAGAUGCGGCUGAAGACUCUGUCUCCAUCCCUCCACUCUGCGAUCUAUACCACCAUAUAGGUGGGGAUUGAUCGUAUCCCAGGUACGGCAUCCUGCAGUAAGCCAGUAUGGAAGGCUGGUUAGCCAACGACGGGUAAGAUCCCACCUUGAAACCCGGGACAACCUAAUUCAGGCACAGUCACGAUUACUUGGCAGAGUCACUGUGAGCACUGGCUCACUUGAACAUGUAGUGACGAACUGCAAGGGAAAGCCGGCUGAUGAAAGGUGGAGGGGGAACAACAGGAGUCAGAUAUGUCAGCUCUGACAGCAGAGGUCGUCUUGAAACGGGGCAUGUCGCGUUUUAUUUCAUUUUAUUUUACCUUUGUGGUAUAGAAGGCCACUAACGCAUGUACGUUUUUUCGGUUUAGUGCAUGACUUUGGAACAGCGUGGUUUCAGGCGGCUGAUGGUAAACCCACCCAUAUUGGGCUUUGGAUUUGGACAUACUGGUUUCGAUUUCCCUUCCCAAAAGAUUGGUUUCAGUUUACUGAUGCUUAAGGUUAGACUUUCGACGUUGGGUGCACCAACGGCGUUAUUAGAUUUGUUUAUCAUUUACUGCGCAUGGUUUUGACCAUUGCGCAAGGGGGGAGGUAUUAGGAAAAUUUUUGAAAACAAGGUUUUUCUUCACCAUACUUGCAAACAAUGAUUGACAUCCAGCUAAAUGAGUGUGAAAUAUUUGAAAAAACAGUGUUCAACAGAUGGGUAGAAGCAGUCCCAUCAGAAGACCAAAGUUCUGACUAGAGAAGUCAUGGCAAGGUUUGGAAUUCCGUCACAAAUUAGCUCAGGCGACAGAGCAGCGUUUAGUCAGAAAACACUCAAACAAGUGAUUUAACAUCUGCAUGUCAAACAAAGAUUAGGCUGUGUCUACAUUCCUCAAACCACAAGGUAUGGUGGAGAGAGGAAUCGGACGCUUAAGACAAAGAUUAACAAAAUUAAAUUAGAGUACUAAAUUAAAGGACUAAUGCAUUACGACUGACACUAAUGAGUUAUCGCAUGAAAACUAACAGAAUGACGCAUCUAACCCCGCAUGAAAUGUUUACGGGUCGACCCAUGCCUUCACCUGUCAUUCGAGGGCCUCAUAAAGGACCUCCAUUAGAACAAUUGGAAACUGAAUUAAGACGUUAUAUGGGACAACUAACUGGCAUACACAGGCUUAUUUUUCAACAAGAGAAAGGCAGAGUUCCAGAGUUGGAGAAGGAGCCACCAAGGGGGGUGGAGCCAGGUGACCACGAGCCUAGGCGAGAAGGACCAUACAAAGUCACCAGCGCAACAUCAACAGCCAUCCAAGUGGAAGGAAGUGCCACGUGGUAUCAUCUCAACCACUGCACAAAAGCUGCUCAACCCAAAGCCAGAGACGACCGAGAGAAGGACCAUACAAAGUCACCAACGCAACACCAACAGCCA
ensembl:lncRNA